GCGGCAAUAGCUCAGUGGUAGAGUCCCCUCUUCGCAUGCGGGGAGAGCUGGGUUCGAUUCCCGGCUGCUUCC
rfam:Toxocara canis scaffold708, whole genome shotgun sequence.